UACAAGGUAGCCGUUUGGCGUCGUGAGUAUGUGCCAAAUCUACUAGACAUUGGAGAAACAGUAGGAACAACACAUGGUACCGGCACAUGGAUCUUUCAGGAAAACGAAGUAGGUAAUAAACAGGAAAAAGCCCGAGUCUGAUGCUAAGAAGAACAUAAACAGGAUGCUGAGAGAUUGGGUCUCUCCACAUUGCCCCGGCUGCUCUCCAACCCCUGAGUUCAAGUGAUUCACCUCCCUUGGCCUCCCAAAGAACUGGGAUUACAGACGUGAGCCACCGUGCCUGGCUGAGAAGAUGGAUUUAAGAUAUGUUUUGGAGCGGAAAGUGAGCAGAAGAGGUGUGCAGUUUCCAGGCCUGGCCCAUACAGACCUCCAACAGGUGCUCCCCUGUGCUGUUACUCCUUCUGCCAACUGGAAGCAGAUGGUGACCAGGCUCUGGAGAAGGCAAGGCCUGAAGAUGGGAGAUUCCUAAGUGGAGGAGAACUGUGCCUUACUGACCUAAAUAUCCACUCAGUAUUGUUAUGUGAGAAUAAAUAAACUUGUGUU
rnacentral:lncRNA from 1 species